rnacentral:rRNA from 1 species
UACGUAGGGUGCAAGCGUUAAUCGGAAUUACUGGGCGUAAAGCGUGCGCAGGCGGUGAUGUAAGACAGAUGGGAAAUCCCCGGGCUCAACCUGGGAACUGCAUUUGUGACUGCAUCGCUGGAGUGCGGCAGAGGGGGAUGGAAUUCCGCGUGUAGCAGUGAAAUGCGUAGAUAUGCGGAGGAACCCCGAUGGCGAAGGCAAUCCCCUGGGCCUGCACUGACGCUCAUGCACGAAAGCGUGGAGAGCAAACAGG